rnacentral:misc_RNA from 1 species
GAAAUGCGAUAAGUAAUGUGAAUUGCAGAAUUCAGUGAAUCAUCGAAUCUUUGAACGCACCUUGCGCUCCUUGGUAUUCCGAGGAGCAUGCCUGUUUGAGUGUCAUUAAAUUCUCAACCUCACCCAUUUUGUCAUGAAGUGCGUGUGUAGGCUUGGAUGUGGAGGCUUGCAGGUCCGGCUCUCUUGAGUUGGUCUGCUCCUCUGAAAUGCAUUAGUGGGUUGUGCCCCUCAUCUAUUGGUGUGAUAAUUAUCUACGCCGUGGAUCCGUGUUGGGCGACAAUGUGUGACCUGCUUCUAACCGUCCGACUCGGACAACUUGACAUUUUUGACCUCAAAUCAGGUAAGACUACCCGCUGAACUUAA